rnacentral:rRNA from 1 species
UACGUAGGGUGCGAGCGUUGUCCGGAAUUAUUGGGCGUAAAGGGCUCGUAGGCGGUUUGUCGCGUCGGGAGUGAAAUCCACUGGCUUAACUGGUGGCUUGCUUUCGAUACGGGCAGACUGGAGGUAUGCAGGGGAGACUGGAAUUCCUGGUGUAGCGGUGAAAUGCGCAGAUAUCAGGAGGAACACCGGUGGCGAAGGCGGGUCUCUGGGCCGAUACUGACGCUGAGGAGCGAAAGCGUGGGGAGCGAACAGG